GGAUACGGCGGGAAGAAGGCCGCCCCGGCUGCCCUCCGAAGGCAGAGGUCACAGGUUCGAAUCCUGUCGGGUGCGCCA
rnacentral:tRNA from 1 species